rnacentral:misc_RNA from 1 species
AGCUGCAGAAGCUGCUCUUCGUGCUUUAAACAGGAGUGACGUUGCAGGGAAGCAGAUAAUGAUUGAAGCAAUCCAUCCUGGUGGUACCAGACGGUUGUCGCAGCAAUUUCCUUCUGAGCUGGAGCAAGAUGAACCUGGUCUUUAUUUGCACCAGAAUAGUCCUAGCAGUUUAGCCACUGGAUUUUCUGUUCCAGGAGCACUUCCACAUGGAGGACAUGGUUUGAGUAUGGAAAAUGGAUCUAUUCUGGGCAGACAAUCAGCCAGUGGUUCUGCCAUGAAUUCCUAUUUGGAUAAUGCAUUUGACUGUGGAUUAUCAUUCAGUGUUCCUAACAGCUUAUUGAGGUUGGAAUCUAAGGGGGGCAACCAAGCUAAUGUUGGUGAAACUGGCCACCUGCAGAGCCAAUUCAAUUUUGACCUUCGGGGCACAUCAGGUCUCCAUCCUCAUUCUCUGCCAGAGUACCAUGAUGGUUUAUCUAAUGGAACGACCUCCAUUUCUCCGGGCGGCAUUUCUGCAAAUAUGAAUAUCAGGCCACUAGAAGCAAUAGAAAACCGAAAGUUCUCCAGAGUUGGCCCUAAUGGGCAACCGGUUGAACUAAAUGAAGUUUUUACUCCAAAUGGAACUGCAAAUUGUCCUUCUCCUGGGCACCAAUACAUGUGGAGUAAUUCACAUCAAUCGCAGCCUCAAGGCAUGAUGUGGCCAAACUCACCAACAUAUGUAGGUGGGGUCUGUGCUUCUCGCCCUCAACAACUGCAUUCAGUUCCAAGGGCUCCGUCCCACAUGCUCAAUGCACUUGUACCAAUAAACAACCAUCAUGUGGGUUCAGCGCCCUCUGUUAAUCCAUCCCUCUCUCUCUGGGAUAGAAGACAUGCCUAUGCAGGAGAAUCUCCAGAUGCAUCUGGUUUUCAUCCAGGUUCUCUGGGAAGUAUGAGGAUUUCUGGAAAUUCACCACAUCCUUUGGAGUUCAUUCCUCAUAACGUUUUCUCGCGCACUGGUGGCAGCUGUAUAGACUUGCCCAUGUCUUCCAGUAAUGUCGGCCAUCAGCAGAGAAAUUUAAUGUUUCCUGGUAGAGCUCAAAUAAUUCCUAUGAUCAGUUCGUUUGAUUCUCCAAAUGAAAGGAUGCGGAGCCGUAGGAAUGAAGGCAAUUCAAGUCAGACUGACAACAAGAAGCAGUUUGAACUGGAUAUUGAACGGAUUGCACGAGGGGACGAUAAAAGGACAACCCUAAUGAUAAAGAAUAUUCCUAACAAAUAUACUUCAAAAAUGCUUUUGGCU